GCCAACACCCGUGAUAGACAAUGUAAACAAACUCGGUUUUACCAUCGGGUUCUGUCACGUAUUGUUGUAGUUACUGCCUGGUUAGUUCCCGCCUCGGCUUCACAGAGGGAGGAUGUACGACUUUCUUCCUCCAUGGAGAAUGGAGGAUAUGUGAAGGAAGGUACUGGAACCACCUGUCAUAACCAGGACAUACAACCAUCUGCCCCGGCCAUAUAUACUGUCCAGCCGGACCUCUCCUCACCGCCAGCAAACUGCCCCUGUGUUGAGAGUACCGCUGUAUGUAACUGCAAGAGUGACGCUCCACCCAAGUCUAAGGUUGAACUACUUACGUGGGUUAGACCAAAAGGUUGGCUCCUGCUAGGCAUAACGGUGGGGUUCCUCGCCUGGUCUGCCAUCUUCUUCACGCUGGUUUCUCUCAACAUAAUCUAGCCCAGGACGUAGCAGUUUGGUGUUUUCAUUCCGUAAAAUCAUCGUAUAUGUUUACAUGGGUUCGUGAUUAUUUGUUAUUGUGCAAGAAAGUGAAUGUGGAUAGAGGAAUUGGUUAAUCAUGGCGACAUCACAUAUUCAGCGGACAAUGGAUUCAGAGCCAAAUGAAGUGAUAAUGAAAAAUGAAUUAAACACAAAUGAAUUUAACUGCACGGAUAAAAAGACCAACCAUCAGGAAACUACAAAAACAAACAGGGAAGAAGAAUUAACAGACAAUACCAAUAUUCGACAAAAUAAAGGAAAUAACACAGUCACAUAUGAAAAGGAAGACGUUAUUGAUGUAGGAGUAACUAUGGGAAAUGGAAAUAGUGUUGAAGAACCUCUGGAUUUGACCUGUAGUACGCCCACUCAACAAAACGUACAUGUCUGUCAGUCUUGCCAACACUUGUACAAUGAGACCCAAGGAGUUGUUCUCACGGCCAAUACCCUCCACACCACCCAUCACCAUGUCCCUAGCUAUCAUGAGAGAUCUUUCCUUCAACCAGUUAAAUCAUGGAAAACUUGUAGCUAUGAUGGUCUGUUUGACUGCCCAGAGAGUCAGUGUAGCACCUCCGGGAGACGACCUUCUGUGUGGCAGCGUCUCCUACCCCGCAAUGAACCUUGGUGGCCGUACGUCAAGAUCACGGUGCUGGUCAUCUGCGCCAUCUUGCCGUUUGCGUUCCUGGUGGUGUAUUUUAUCUUUGCCUACAAGAAGUAAAUGUGUCGACCCUCGGAAAAUUCCCUCCCCUAUGGGUUUACGAGCUGAGUUACAUUUGCCAUGUGGGGUUAAAACCAACUUAAUACUUUUGUGUAUUUUGAUGAUUUUAAUGAUCCAGCCGUGACCCUAGUAUCAUUUACUGUCCCUCUUGAUGACACGACCUUUAUUAUUGAGAAUUUAAUAACUCCACUUUGACUUUAACUUAAAAUUUAACUUAAUAAUUCCUUUGAUCUAUAACCUGUGUAUAAAAAUGUUACUUCAUAAAAGAGUGUGAGAUGGAAAUGCAGUUAUGACCAAGUUGUAGUCAUCUGAAUUAUUACCCACAUAUUGUUGGUAAAGUGGAACCUCCCUCUCGCUCGCUACCUGUAUAUAGAGAGGAGAAUCCAUAAGAUAUGAAGCCUCUAUCUAGCUCAUAUAUUAACUAGAGUGAUGAACAUGACAAAACAAAACAGUUAUGCGAAGAUUCCACAACUAAGAGAUCAUCAAUAUAAUGUACAGUCGGGGUCAAAAGUUCGUCGCGGUAAAACAGAUUCACGGGAAUGGGUCUCCGAACUGACUUGCCCUAGCUAUUGUAUCUCGUUUGGGGUCACUGUAAUUAUUGACAUUGUGUUUUUACUGUAUACAUUAUUAUUUUUUCCAUUAUAAAUUAUGCUAUAUAUUUACUUAAGAGAGAGAAUAUAAAUUAAAUACAUAAGAAAUUGACCUAACUUAACCUACCCUCAAAAUAGGAUGUUGUCUUUUAAAGGGUAAUGUCAGAGGCCCAGAACUUCCUCCACACUUAGUUUUAGUCUCGUACUGCACACUAUAAACGUCUUCCAUAAACCGUGCCUGAUGUAAUGCCUUAACAUGUGGUUCUGUUUCAUGUUUACAAUUAUAUUAAUCAUAAUUCCAAUUUCAGAAAAAAAUAUAUAAAUUUUCAGUAGAAUAAUGUUAUCCAGAUGUAAAGUUAACACAUAAUAUAGUUCACAUUUUACCCAUAUAUACAGGGUGACUCAAAAAGAUGUACAGUACAGUAUAGUAUAGACUGCACACUGACUACAGAUACAUGUAUUUGUUGCAAUUGCAUGAAUGUUGUUGUUGUUAUCAUUAUCAGUGUUUAAUGGCCAUUUUUCACACUUGCAUGGGUUAAUUGCAGUUACCUGAUGGCAGCUCUCCAUGUUGCACCAUCUGUUGCAGUCUUGUCAGGUUCCUAACUCAAUGGCAUUUCUUACAGCCUCACCCCAUGUCAUUCUUGGCCUGCCCCUGGCUCUCCUCCACUCCACAUUGAGGGUCAUGCAUCUCUCGGCCCCAGUUGGUUUCACCCAUUCUCUCCACCUGCCUGAACCAUCCCAACCUGCCUCUAUGCAGGACUUCACCAACACUCUCAAUACCCAGCUGCCCUCAUAGCUACAUUUCUUCAUCACUUAACACAUCCACCUCACCAUUCUCAUUUCAGUUCACUCAAGUCUGCUUAUGUCACUGCCCAUGUGUCACUGCUCAUCCCACAUCUCACACCAGCCACAUAUAUCCUUUCUUUCACUUGUAGGGAAGGUCUUCUUGCUGUUAAUAAAGGCAGCAGCUUCCUAAACAUCCCCCACCCACUUUUGACUCAUACAACUGAUCAGGCUUCAGCUUUGAUCAUGUCACCCAGGUAACAGAACUGAUCAACACAGCCUGAGGACAUAUCUCCUAUGUUAAGUUUCUCCAGCCUUGCUCUGGCCAGUCUGCCGUCUAUUCCACUGCACCUCUUGUGUAUGCACCUUCCACUCUCACUGUGCUUGAUUGAAUUGCUACCAAAACCUUUCUUGUAACACUGUACUACAAGAUUUCAUGCAAUCUCUACAAAAAUUUAGAAGGCAGUGUGUAUACAUAUAUUUUUUUGUCACCCUGUAGUUGCUAGAAAAUUAAAUACUGUAGUUAAUGAAUAAAGAAAUAAAGUUUUAUAAAUUUGUUAUCUAAUUUUUAAAGGAAUUACUCCUAUGUAUUUCUUAAGAGACCAAUAUUUUCAUAAAGUGUAUUUUAUAAACUCGAUAUAGUACAGUAAAAUACUACAAUACUGUACUACCUGUAUACUGUAUCAUGUUGAGAAGUGAUAGACUAGUGUUUGUCACACCUCCUAUGGGUAAUAUUCUCCUCUUGAAUGUUACCAACACUUAUGUUUAUGGAUCACCUGACAAUUAGCCUUCCCCGACCUUAUUUCACCUUAAUGCCAACCUAACCACUCGCCCCUCUCCUAGGUAGCAUUAAGAUGACAUAAACAGGGGUCAGGCUGACCUUUUUUUGUUUUUCCUCAGUCUGGCAAACUCUUAUCCACGAGUGAGAACAGUAGCAGGAAUUAAAAGCAACUCUCCCUCUCUCUCUCUGUGCUUGCUGUUAUAACACAUCUUUUAUACUUGUGAUUGAUGGGAGGUUCUGUGUUGCUGUUGGCUACAGUCUCAGUACUGGGAAAGGUCUUGCCAGGAAAAAAUUAACACUAUGUAUAUUGGAGUUGUAAUUGUGCUGUAUAUAUCAUCUUAAACAGUAGUCAGAGUAUGUCUUUCAAAUUUUCUUAGUUGUUUUUAUUGUUAAUCUCUAUAAAAUGAUUUAUACUUU
rnacentral:lncRNA from 1 species